rnacentral:rRNA from 1 species
GACGAACGCUGGCGGCGUGCUUAACACAUGCCAGUCGAACGGAAAGGCCCUGCUUUUGUGGGGUGCUCGAGUGGCGAACGGGUGAGUAACACGUGAGUAACCUGCCCUUGACUUUGGGAUAACUUCAGGAAACUGGGGCUAAUACCGGAUAGGAGCUCCUGCUGCAUGGUGGGGGUUGGAAAGUUUCGGCGGUUGGGGAUGGACUCGCGGCUUAUCAGCUUGUUGGUGGGGUAGUGGCUUACCAAGGUUUUGACGGGUAGCCGGCCUGGGAGGGUGACCGGCCACAAUGGGACUGAGAGACGGCCCAGACUCCUACGGGAGGCAGCAGGGGGGAAUAUUGCACAAUGGGCGGAAGCCUGAUGCAGCAACGCCGCGUGCGGGAUGACGGCCUUCGGGUUGUAAACCGCUUUCGCCUGUGACGAAGCGUGAGUGACGGUAAUGGGUAAAGAAGCACCGGCUAACUACGUG